GACACUGAGGAACGAAAGCAUGGGUAGCGAAGAGGAUUAGAUACCCUCGUAGUCCAUGCCGUAAACGAUGUGUGUUAGACGUUGGAAAUUUAUUUUCAGUGUCGCAGCGAAAGCCUUAAACACACCGCCUGGGGAGUACGACCGCAAGGUUAAAACUCAAAUGAAUUGACGGGGACCCGCACAAGUAGUGGAGCAUGUGGUUUAAUUCGAAGAUACGCGCAGAACCUUACCAACACUUGACAUGUUCGUCGCGACUUUAAGAGAUUAAAGUUUUCGGUUCGGCCGGACGAAACACAGGUGCUGCAUGGCUGUCGUCAGCUCGUGUCGUGAGAUGUUGGGUUAAGUCCCGCAACGAGCGCAACCCUCACUUUUAGUUGCCAUCAUUUAGUUGGGCACUCUGAAAGAACUGCCAGUGAUAAGCUGGAGGAAGGUGGGGAUGACGUCAAGUCCUCAUGGCCCUUACGUGUUGGGCUACACACGUGCUACAAUGGCAUUUACAAUAGGAAGCAAGAUGGCGACGUCAAGCAAAUCCUAAAAAGAUGCCUCAGUUCGGAUUGUACUCUGCAACUCGAGUACAUGAAGCUGGAAUUACUAGUAAUCGCGGAUCAGCGCGCCGCGGUGAAUACGUUCCCGGGUCUUGUACACACCGCCCGUCACACCAUGGGAGUUGGUUCUACCUUAAGGCAAGGUUUAAAACCCUUGACCACGGUAUAGUCAGCGACUGGGGUGAAGUCGUAACAAGGUAGCCGUA
rnacentral:rRNA from 1 species